AGAGAAAGAAACGGGAUGAUAGAACGAAAGUGAACGAUGGAGAUUGAGUGACACUUUUUUUUUUUUGUUAGCUUCGGGUUUUGUGUUUUGGUGUUGAUCUUUCUUCUUUUCUUUUUUUCACUAUUCCUCUUGCCUUCUUUUGUAGGCGAGGAGUUUUUGUA
rnacentral:ribozyme from 1 species